rnacentral:rRNA from 1 species
CCUACGGGUGGGCUGCAGUGGGGAAUAUUGCGCAAUGGGCGAAAGCCUGACGCAGCGACGCCGCGUGAGGGAUGAAGGUCUUCGGAUCGUAAACCUCUGUCAGCAGGGAAGAACGGUCACUGUGCUAAUCAGCAGUGAAUUGACGGUACCUGCAAAGGAAGCACCGGCUAACUCCGUGCCAGCAGCCGCGGUAAUACGGAGGGUGCGAGCGUUAAUCGGAAUUACUGGGCGUAAAGCGCUCGUAGGCGGUAUGUCAAGUCAAGGGUGAAAUCCCCGCGCUCAACGUGGGAACUGCCUUUGGAGACGGGAGGACUGGAGAGCAGGAGAGGGCGGUGGAACUCCAUGGGUAGCGGUAAAAUGCGUAGAUAUAUGGAAGAACACCAGUGGCGAAGGCGGCCGCCUGGCCUGUUGCUGACGCUGAGGCACGAAAGCGUGGGGAGCAAAUAGGAUUAGAUACCCCUGUAGUC